UAGCAGGACGUUACUUAAUAA
rnacentral:siRNA from 1 species